GACAGAGGGGGCAAGCGUUGCUCGGAAUCACUGGGCGUAAAGGGCGCGUAGGCGGGAUAGCAAGUCAGUCGUGAAAUCUCUCGGCUCAACCGAGAAACGUCGGCUGAUACUGCCGUUCUUGAGGGAUGCAGAGGAGACUGGAAUUCCCGGUGUAGCGGUGAAAUGUGUAGAGAUCGGGAGGAACACCGGUGGCGAAGGCGGGUCUCUGGGCAUCUCCUGACGCUGAGGCGCGAAAGCGUGGGGAGCAAACGGG
rnacentral:rRNA from 1 species